CUUGGUCAUUUAGAGGGAUUUAAAGUCGUAACAAGGUGUUCGUCCGUAGGUGGACCUGCUGAAGGAUCAUUAUUGAAUUUUCAUUCAAUUACGCAUGUGAACCAGCUGAACCACAAACUGUGUACUGUCUUUCGGCUUUAAUGCCUGAGGCUGUAACUGCGUGGGCAGGCCCAAGCACUAACGGACUUUGAGCCGUCAGCCCUAUAAUCAUUGACUGUGACUGAAACAUCUUUAAUCAUUAAAGACAAUUUUUACCAAUGGAUCUCUAUGCUCUC
rnacentral:misc_RNA from 1 species